rnacentral:miRNA from 1 species
UCGUGAAUGAGAUUUGUGUUGCUU